CGCGGCGCGGGCAGCAGCCUUCUGUCUGCCGGGCCCGUGUGCGUGCUAGUUCUGCCUUGCACUGAGACUGCGAGCCAAAGGUGCAGUAGCACGGGGCAGCCUGGAACCUGGUGUAUGGCCACGGAGAUACAGCAUCCAGACUCCGUGCCCUGUCACACCCGGGAAGUAAACCCUGCCUCAACGCCAAGUCCCGAGCUGCUGCGGCCUGGUGACCUGAUCCCCUGAUCCCGGGGCUCCCGUGAUCCCUGGACACGCCCAGUGUAGCGCGCCUGCUGAGUGUGACCCUAAGGCCUGUGGCACCACGAGCCUUAACUCUGAGAGCGCCAGCGACAUUUGUAACAGUAGCAACUAUGACGCACUGCGAACUCUCCCGACAGAUAGGGUCCCAGCUGAAACUUCUGCCUAUGAACGAUCAGAUCCGAGAGUUGCAGACCAUCAUCCGGGACAAGACAGCCAGUAGAGGGGACUUUAUGUUUUCUGCGGAUCGUUUGAUCAGACUUGUUGUGGAAGAGGGACUGAAUCAGCUGCCGUAUAAAGAGUGUAUGGUGACAACUCCAACAGGGUACAAGUAUGAAGGAGUACAAUUUGAGAAGGGAAAUUGUGGGGUCAGCAUAAUGAGAAGCGGCGAGGCAAUGGAGCAAGGCUUACGAGACUGCUGUCGAUCCAUACGAAUUGGAAAGAUCCUGAUUCAGAGCGAUGAGGAGACCCAAAGAGCCAAAGUCUGUUAUGCCAAGUUCCCGCCAGACAUUUAUCGGAGGAAAGUUCUUCUGAUGUAUCCAAUUCUCAGCACUGGAAAUACUGUCAUUGAAGCUGUAAAGGUCCUUACAGAACACGGAGUUCAACCCAGUGUUAUAAUCCUGCUCAGUCUCUUCUCCACGCCUCAUGGUGCCAAAUCAAUCAUUCAGGAAUUCCCAGAGAUCACAAUUUUAACUACUGAAGUUCAUCCCGUUGCACCUACACACUUUGGACAGAAAUACUUUGGAACCGACUAAGUUAUUGAAGGAAAGGGAAAUAUCUUCUGUACUAUUACAGUUACAUUUUGAUUUUUCUAUUUGUUUUACUAAGUUGAGGAACAAUGGAAGAGAAGAUCAUAAAGAUGCUUUUUAACCUUGAAACUAGGUACAGUAAAAGGGAAAUAUUUAAAAUGUAUUAAUUUUAGUUAUUUCUUGAUGGUUGGCAGCAAAUUCAUCAAUGAAGCACACAUACAACCCUUAGAAAAGGUGGAAAUGUUAAUGUUAAUACAAGUUGGUGAACCCUGAGUGCAUUGAAGUUGCUCCCUAAUUUGUGAUCCUUAGUUUGGAGGUUGCUUGCAACUACAAAGAAAAUCUAAAUAAGUUGGUUCUUUGGCCCACUACAGUUCCCAUUUUGUGUAGUGUGGUUUUAGCUCUGGUAAGUAUUCAUGUAUGUGACUAUUGCCACUUUCCUCUACUCUUUACCUCCUGGAUUUGUACAUACUGGUAACUGGGAAAGAAGCAUUGUGCCUUCGGGAAUUUUGUAUUUUCCUUAACAUACCCAAUUCACAGACCCAGGAUGUAUGGUGAAAUUCUUAGUCAGGUCAUCCUAUUUCUCAUGACUAUUCAUCCAAACUGUACAUUAUUGGUAGGUACUUUGCCAAGCUACAAUAUGUUGAAGAAAAUGACUGGGCAUUUUUAGUAACUGGAACUGUAACAGUUGAUACAGACUAAACCAGGGAUACCUGAAUGCUGACAAAAGAGAGCUGGGUACUGUUAAUGUUGUCAAUCCUUUAGAAAACAAUUUGUGGUGAUUUUUGGAGGGGUGGGGAAAGAAAUUACUUCUUACUAGAUUUCAUGGCCAACAAAUAAAAUAAAAUACAUAAUUUUAAUUUGGGUGUUCCUACAAGAAGUCUUUGAUUUGAAAAUUAAUUAUUUUGCA